ACCAAUUCUCUUCCUGACGUCACGGCGUAGGACGAAAACUUAUAAACGCUAAACGCGCCUGCUGGCAGCAUUCAUUGGUGCACUGCAUCGCUGCUCGGUUCUAGUUGCGGUGUCGCGAGGUAUUCCACAUUCUUCCUCCGUAAUCUUCGUAACCUCUGUAACCUCUGUUUGAGUACACAUGUAUCAAGAUUCUUCAAUGAAAUUAAUCAUCAAGUGUCUCAGACCCGAUAUUAUAUCGGGGUAUGUGAGUUCCAUCUCCGUGCGCAGCAACAAUUCCCUUCGAAACUCCCUUCAUAAUUUUUUUAAUUAUUCGCAUAAUUAUUCAUUGUUAGGCUCUGUGCCGUCUUCCACCCUUGUUUUCCAUCAUUUUAGAUUUAAUUCUAAUUAUAAAAUCUCUUUUUCAAAAUCCGAAUCCAGUCGAAUCUAUUAUAUGACGAUUCAAUGAAUCUGAUCGUCAUAUCGGACGGGGUGAAAAUGUUGUCUCAAGAUCAACGAUUAGUAUCACUAAAACAUCCCGCUACGACGGAAUUGAUUUAUUUGACUGUCACAUGUGCGCAAGUCGACAUAAAGUAACCGACACUUAAAAGAGAAACAUUCAUUUCAGGCUGGAUAG